rnacentral:tRNA from 1 species
GGGUAUAGCUCAGUAGUAGAGCACAUGCCUAGCACACAUGGGGUCCUGGGUUCCAUCCCCAGUACCUCCA